rnacentral:pre_miRNA from 1 species
UUAAUACUCCCUCCGUCCCAAAAUUCUUGUCUUAGAUUUGUCUAGAUACGGAUGUAUCUAAUACUAAAACGUGACUUGAUACAUCGGUAUCUAGACAAAUCUAAGACAAGAAUUGUGGGACGGAGGGAGUACUCA